ACGAACGCUGGCGGCGUGCUUAACACAUGCAAGUCGAACGGAAAGGCCCCUUUGGGGGUGCUUGAGUGGCGAACGGGUGAGUAACACGUGCGUAACUUGCCCUUGCCUUCGGGUUGACUUCCGGCAACUGAGGCUAGUACCUGCUAGGAAGCCUUUCCUGCUGCAGGGGGGUGGAAGGAUUCGGCGGGUUUGGGUGGACUCGCUGGCUAUCUGCUUGGUGGUGGGGUGGUUGCUUACCAAGGCUUUGACGGGUAGGCGGCCUGGGGGGGCGGCCGGCCAACAUGGGACCGGGGUUAGGCCCAGACCCCUACGGGGGGGAGCAGGGGGGAAUAUUGCACAAUGGGCGGAAGCCCGAUGCAGCAACGCCGCGGGCGGGAUGACGGCCUUCGGGUUGUAAACCGCUUUCAGCAGGGGAGAAGCUUGUGGUGACGGUACCUGCAGAAGAAGCACCGGCUAACUACGUG
rnacentral:rRNA from 1 species